CCGUUCGGCUUCUAUACUGCAGUCGAGCGGACAGAUGGGAGCUUGCUCCCUGAUGUUAGCGGCGGACGGGUGAGUAACACGUGGGUAACCUGCCUGUAAGACUGGGAUAACUCCGGGAAACCGGGGCUAAUACCGGAUGCUUGUUUGAACCGCAUGGUUCAAACAUAAAAGGUGGCUUCGGCUACCACUUACAGAUGGACCCGCGGCGCAUUAGCUAGUUGGUGAGGUAAUGGCUCACCAAGGCAACGAUGCGUAGCCGACCUGAGAGGGUGAUCGGCCACACUGGGACUGAGACACGGCCCAGACUCCUACGGGAGGCAGCAGUAGGGAAUCUUCCGCAAUGGACGAAAGUCUGACGGAGCAACGCCGCGUGAGUGAUGAAGGUUUUCGGAUCGUAAAGCUCUGUUGUUAGGGAAGAACAAGUACCGUUCGAAUAGGGCGGUACCUUGACGGUACCUAACCAGAAAGCCACGGCUAACUACGUGCCAGCAGCCGCGGUAAUACGUAGGUGGCAAGCGUUGUCCGGAAUUAUUGGGCGUAAAGGGCUCGCAGGCGGUUUCUUAAGUCUGAUGUGAAAGCCCCCGGCUCAACCGGGGAGGGUCAUUGGAAACUGGGGAACUUGAGUGCAGAAGAGGAGAGUGGAAUUCCACGUGUAGCGGUGAAAUGCGUAGAGAUGUGGAGGAACACCAGUGGCGAAGGCGACUCUCUGGUCUGUAACUGACGCUGAGGAGCGAAAGCGUGGGGAGCGAACAGGAUUAGAUACCCUGGUAGUCCACGCCGUAAACGAUGAGUGCUAAGUGUUAGGGGGGUUUCCGCCCCUUAGUGCUGCAGCUAACGCAUUAAGCACUCCGCCUGGGGAGUACGGUCGCAAGACUGAAACUCAAAGGAAUUGACGGGGGCCCGCACAAGCGGUGGAGCAUGUGGGUUUAAUUCGAAGCAACGCGAAGACCCUUACCAGGUCUUGACAUCCCUCUGACAUCCUAGAGAUAGGACGUCCCCUUUCGGGGGGCAGAGUGACACGUGGUGCAUGGGUGGUCGUCAGCCUCGUGGUCGUGAGAAUGAUUGGGGG
rnacentral:rRNA from 1 species